UUUAAUUUAAUUUAAUUUAAUUUAAUGUAAUUUAAUGUAAUUUUUUAAAAAGGUGAAAGGCUCUAUUUCACUUUUCUUGGUUUUCAUGCACAGACAUAAACUCACAUGCCUUAAAUUUACCUAUAAGCAACGAUCUGUGCAAUACCUAUGAAAUGAAUACUCAGUAGUAAAAAGACUAGGUGUUAUCAGCCCAGACUGGAAGUCAGUGUGAAAUUUGGCCACACGCUACAGUCAUAUGAGUUGGCAUGGUCAGAUCAGUCAUUUUGAGUUAAUGGGAGUUUUCUCUUUCUACCAUACAUUUAAGCAUGAGACACAAUGCCACCGGUAUUAUUGAACUCCAGGCUUAAAUUCAAAAUCUCGUUGUUUCUUGCGAAUAACUCAACAACUUUAUAUCUUAUAAAUAAAAAAGAAAAGCUUGGUAAAACAAGAAAAAGAAAUGACAGAAAAUUGAAUCCAAGUCACCUUCUUUGAUUUCUAUUAUGUCUGGUUUUUAAAGGCAAACUGACUGGGCUUGAAGGAGAUGUUGGAUCUGGGAUGAAAGCUAUUAUUGCUACAACCUGUUGGCUCAAAGGUCCAGCACCUUGCCUGGAGCCCAAGAAUGAUUUGAGGAAAACCGCAAGCCAUAUUCCUGCUCAACGACAGUCUGAAGUCCGAGGUUUGAAGAACAAGGCACAUAGAAUGGAAUCUAACUCCUGCAGGACAUCAAAAAAGGGAAUUUCCAAGUCAUGUCUUGUACAACCCAGCUCUUCAAAUUAGCAUACAAUCAUUUCAGCCUUUCUGAACACAUUUUUUUAAACUUCAGAACAAACAAUCAAACUGG